GGGUUGUGAGGUUAAGCGACUAAGCGUACACGGUGGAUGCCCUGGCAGUCAGAGGCGAUGAAGGGCGUGCUAAUCUGCGAUAAGCGCCGGUAAGGUGAUAUGAACCGUUAUAACCGGCGAUACCCGAAUGGGGAAACCCAGUGUGACUCGUCACACUAUCAUUAACUGAAUCCAUAGGUUAAUGAGGCGAACCGGGGGAACUGAAACAUCUAAGUACCCCGAGGAAAAGAAAUCAACCGAGAUUCCCCCAGUAGCGGCGAGCGAACGGGGAGGAGCCCAGAGCCUGAAUCAGCAUGUGUGUUAGUGGAAGCGUCUGGAAAGGCGCGCGAUACAGGGUGACAGCCCCGUACACAAAAGCGCAUGUGCUGUGAGCUCGAUGAGUAGGGCGGGACACGUGGUAUCCUGUCUGAAUAUGGGGGGACCAUCCUCCAAGGCUAAAUACUCCUGACUGACCGAUAGUGAACCAGUACCGUGAGGGAAAGGCGAAAAGAACCCCGGCGAGGGGAGUGAAAAAGAACCUGAAACCGUGUACGUACAAGCAGUGGGAGCCCCACCACCAAAGCAUUUGCUGUACCGCGUUGACGGAGCGAAGCGACGUCAAACCGAUAAAACAGCAGUGUAAAGUGAGCCGCAGGGCGCUUUGCGCGACAGCGCAAAGGCAGGCGGUUUCGCGUAGCGAAAGCGAAUGCUUUGGGGUGGGGUGACUGCGUACCUUUUGUAUAAUGGGUCAGCGACUUAUAUUCUGUAGCAAGGUUAACCGAAUAGGGGAGCCGGAGGGAAACCGAGUCUUAAUUGGGCGUUAAGUUGCAGGGUAUAGACCCGAAACCCGGUGAUCUAGCCAUGGGCAGGUUGAAGGUUGGGUAACACUAACUGGAGGACCGAACCGACUAAUGUUGAAAAAUUAGCGGAUGACCUGUGGCUGGGGGUGAAAGGCCAAUCAAACCGGGAGAUAGCUGGUUCUCCCCGAAAGCUAUUUAGGUAGCGCCUCGUGAAUUCAUCUCCGGGGGUAGAGCACUGUUUCGGCUAGGGGGCCAUCCCGGCUUACCAACCCGAUGCAAACUGCGAAUACCGGAGAAUGUUAUCACGGGAGACACACGGCGGGUGCUAACGUCCGUCGUGAAGAGGGAAACAACCCAGACCGCCAGCUAAGGUCCCAAAGUCAUGGUUAAGUGGGAAACGAUGUGGGAAGGCCCAGACAGCCAGGAUGUUGGCUUAGAAGCAGCCAUCAUUUAAAGAAAGCGUAAUAGCUCACUGGUCGAGUCGGCCUGCGCGGAAGAUGUAACGGGGCUAAACCAUGCACCGAAGCUGCGGCAGCGACACUGUGUGUUGUUGGGUAGGGGAGCGUUCUGUAAGCCUGUGAAGGUGUGUCGUGAGGCAUGCUGGAGGUAUCAGAAGUGCGAAUGCUGACAUAAGUAACGAUAAAGCGGGUGAAAAGCCCGCUCGCCGGAAGACCAAGGGUUCCUGUCCAACGUUAAUCGGGGCAGGGUGAGUCGACCCCUAAGGCGAGGCCGAAAGGCGUAGUCGAUGGGAAACGGGUUAAUAUUCCCGUACUUGGUGUUACUGCGAAGGGGGGACGGAGAAGGCUAUGUUGGCCGGGCGACGGUUGUCCCGGUUUAAGCGUGUAGGUGUGUGUUCCAGGUAAAUCCGGUUCACUUUAACACUGAGGCGUGACGACGAGGCACUACGGUGCUGAAGCAACAAAUGCCCUGCUUCCAGGAAAAGCCUCUAAGCAUCAGGUAACAUCAAAUCGUACCCCAAACCGACACAGGUGGUCAGGUAGAGAAUACCAAGGCGCUUGAGAGAACUCGGGUGAAGGAACUAGGCAAAAUGGUGCCGUAACUUCGGGAGAAGGCACGCUGACACGUAGGUGAAGUGAUUUACUCAUGGAGCUGAAGUCAGUCGAAGAUACCAGCUGGCUGCAACUGUUUAUUAAAAACACAGCACUGUGCAAACACGAAAGUGGACGUAUACGGUGUGACGCCUGCCCGGUGCCGGAAGGUUAAUUGAUGGGGUCAGCGCAAGCGAAGCUCCUGAUCGAAGCCCCGGUAAACGGCGGCCGUAACUAUAACGGUCCUAAGGUAGCGAAAUUCCUUGUCGGGUAAGUUCCGACCUGCACGAAUGGCGUAAUGAUGGCCAGGCUGUCUCCACCCGAGACUCAGUGAAAUUGAACUCGCUGUGAAGAUGCAGUGUACCCGCGGCAAGACGGAAAGACCCCGUGAACCUUUACUAUAGCUUGACACUGAACAUUGAGCCUUGAUGUGUAGGAUAGGUGGGAGGCUUUGAAGUGUGGACGCCAGUCUGCAUGGAGCCGACCUUGAAAUACCACCCUUUAAUGUUUGAUGUUCUAACGUGGACCCGUUACCCGGGUUGCGGACAGUGUCUGGUGGGUAGUUUGACUGGGGCGGUCUCCUCCUAAAGAGUAACGGAGGAGCACGAAGGUUGGCUAAUCCUGGUCGGACAUCAGGAGGUUAGUGCAAUGGCAUAAGCCAGCUUGACUGCGAGCGUGACGGCGCGAGCAGGUGCGAAAGCAGGUCAUAGUGAUCCGGUGGUUCUGAAUGGAAGGGCCAUCGCUCAACGGAUAAAAGGUACUCCGGGGAUAACAGGCUGAUAACCGCCCAAGAGUUCAUAGUCGACGGCGGUGUUUGGCACCUCGAUGUCGGCUCAUCACAUCCUGGGGCUGAAGUAGGUCCCAAGGGUAUGGCUGUUCGCCAUUUAAAGUGGUACGCGAGCUGGGUUUAGAACGUCGUGAGACAGUUCGGUCCCUAUCUGCCGUGGGCGCUGGAGAACUGAGGGGGGCUGCUCCUAGUACGAGAGGACCGGAGUGGACGCAUCACUGGUGUUCGGGUUGUCAUGCCAAUGGCACUGCCCGGUAGCUAAAUGCGGAAGAGAUAAGUGCUGAAAGCAUCUAAGCACGAAACUUGCCCCGAGAUGAGUUCUCCCUGAGACUUAGAGUCUCCUGAAGGAACGUUGAAGACGACGACGUUGAUAGGCCGGGUGUGUAAGCGCAGCGAUGCGUUGAGCUAACCGGUACUAAUGAACCGUGAGGCUUAACCUUACAACGCCGAAG
rnacentral:rRNA from 1 species